UACUAGAUCAGACUAAGGGUAGGUGAGC
rnacentral:sRNA from 1 species